rnacentral:rRNA from 1 species
GUGGAACCUCUUGUUGGAUAUUCACCAGAUAAAAGUCAAAAUAUGGUUCUUAUGGGCGGUUUAAGAAAAUACAUUCCAAUCACAAGAACUACUUUUUUAUGGGGUACAGUUUCUCUUUGUGGUAUUCCACCUCUUGCUUGCUUCUGGUCCAAAGAUGAAAUCCUUAGUAAUAGUUGGUUGUAUUCGCCCUUUUUUGGAAUAAUAUCCUCCUUUACUGCAGGAUUACCUGCCUUUUAUAUUAUUCGAAUAUAUUUACUUACAUUUGAUGGGUAUUUGCGUGUUCAUUUUCUAAAUUACAGUAGCACUAAGUCAUCGAAAAGAUCUCGGACGACUCACCAAAGCAUGAAAGCCAGUUAG